rnacentral:lncRNA from 12 species
GCUCCCAGUUUGGGCUCCCAGUGCUCCCAGUGUUCCCAGUUUGUGUUCCCAGUGCUCCCAGUAUCCUCUCAGUGCUCCCAGUAUCCUCCCAGUGCUCCCAUUUUGUCAUUGCCAGUGUUCCCAGUGCUCCCAGUUUGUGCUCCCAAUGCUCCCAGUAUCCUCCCAGUCAUUCCCAGUAUCCCCAGUAACCCCUGGAACUGCUCCCAGUAUCCUCCCAGUGCUCCCAGUUUGUGCUCCCAGUGUUCCCAGUGCUCCCAGUGCUCCCAGUUUGUCAUUCCCAGUGCUCCCAGUAUCUCCCAGUGCUCCCAGUACCCAGCCCCACCCUGUGCCGGUUCCGGUCCCAUUUUUUUUAUUUUUAUUUUCCCCAAAUCGAUUCCCGGAGGCGCCAAAUCCAAAAAAAACCAAAAAAAAACCAAAAAACCCAAAACCCAAAAACUCUCCAAAAAUAUUUUAAUUGUAUUUUAAUUUAAUUUAAUUUUUUAUUUGAAUUGUGACUUUCAGUCACCCAUUCCCAGUUCCCCCAGUUCCCCCAGUGUUCUUGGGUUAAGCUGGCCCUGCUGCCUUUCUCCCCAGAGCUGGGCGGAGGUUUAGAGCCCGAGGCAGCAGCGUGGAACAUCCCGAGGCGAGGAGAGCAAAACCAGUGGUGGGAGGUGAAGCCAAAUCGCUGCCCCUCCAUGUUCAGAGAGAGCCAGAGCUGAGUACAGCUCCCAGUGCUCCCAGUACUCCCAGUUCUCCCAGUGCUCCCAGUACUCCCAGUGCUCCCAGUGCUCCCAGUGCUCCCAGUUUGUCCCCCCAUGGUGCACACCCUGUACCUGUGGUUUAACUGGGGGUGACCAUGGAGUCCAUAGCAAGUCCCCAGUGUCCCUGUCCCAGUGUCCCUGUCCCAGUGUCCCUGUCCCAGUGUCCCCAGUGUCCCCAGUGUUACCAGUGCUCCCAGUAUCCCCAGUAUCCCCAGUUCUCCCAGUAUCCCCAGUAUCCCCAGUAUCCCCAGUAUCCCCAGUAUCCCCCAUCUCCCACACCCGGUAUCUAUGAUUUAAUUUCGGGUGCCCGUGGAUGCCGUAGCGCGUCCCCAGCGCCCCCUGCCGGCUCCGUUCCCGGUAGAAGACGCUCCGUGUCCCCAGUGUCACAGUGCUCCCAGUAUCCCCAGUAUCCCCAGUGCUCCCAGUAUCCCCAGUAUCCCCAGUUCUCCCAGUAUCCCCAGUAUCCCCAGUAUCCCCAGUAUCCCCAGUAUCCCCCAUCUCCCACACCCGGUAUCUGUGGUUCAGUUUGGGGUGCCCGUGGAUGCCGUAGCGCGUCCCCAGCGCCCCCUGCCGGCUCCGUUCCCGGUAGAAGACGCUCCGUGUCCCGCUCUUCCGAUCUGCCCGUGGAUGCCGUAGCGGCUCCCCAGCGCCCCCUGCCGGCUCCGUUCCCGGUAGAAGACGCUCCGCGCCCGCGCGUGCAGCAGGGCGGCGCCGCAGAGCGCGCACGGCUCGCGCGUCACGAACACGUCGCAGCCCGACAGCAGGUACCCCCCCGUGACGUCAUCAGUGACGUCAUCCGCCGCCUCCUCGGCCGCCCCCGGGAUCGCCCAGCCCGUCAGGUCCAGGGGGACGCCGCCCUCGACGGCCCCCCCCCCCCCCCCCCCCCCCCCCCCCCCCCCCCCCCCCCCCCCCCCCCCCCCCCCCCCCCCCCCCCCCCCCCCCCCCCCCCCCCC